rnacentral:rRNA from 1 species
CAGUAGCCGCGGUAAUACGUAGGGUGCAAGCGUUAAUCGGAAUUACUGGGCGUAAAGCGUGCGCAGGCGGUUAUAUAAGACAGAUGUGAAAUCCCCGGGCUCAACCUGAGAACUGCAUUUGUGACUGUAUAGCUAGAGUACGGCAGAGGGGGAUGGAAUUCCGCGUGUAGCAGUGAAAUGCGUAGAUAUGCGGAGGAACACCGAUGGCGAAGGCAAUCCCCUGGGCCUGUACUGACGCUCAUGCACGAAAGCGUGGGGAGCAAACAGGAUUAGAUACCCGGGUAGUCCCUGUCUCUUAUAC